UACGUAGGGCGCAAGCGUUGUCCGGAAUCACUGGGCGUAAAGGGCGCGUAGGCGGAUCUUUAAGUCGGGGGUGAAAGCCCAGGGCUCAACCCUGGAAUUGCCUUCGAUACUGAAGAUCUCGAGACCGGAAGAGGUAAGUGGAACUGCGAGUGUAGAGGUGAAAUUCGUAGAUAUUCGCAAGAACACCAGUGGCGAAGGCGGCUUACUGGUCCGGUUCUGACGCUGAGGCGCGAAAGCGUGGGGAGCAAACAGG
rnacentral:rRNA from 1 species